CCUACGGGAGGCAGCAGUGGGGAAUAUUCGGCAAUGGGCGCAAGCCUGACCCAGCAACGCCGCGUGAAGGAAGAAGGCUUUCGGGUUGUAAACUUCUUUUGACAGGGAAGAGCAGAAGACGGUACCGGUCGUUUAAGCCACGGCUAACUACGUGCCAGCAGCCGCGGUAAUACGUAGGUGGCAAGCGUUGUCCGGAUUUACGGGGUGUAAAAGGCGUGUAGCCGGGUUGACAAGGCAGGGGUGAAAUCCUUCGGCUUAACCGCAGAACUGCAUUUGAAACUGUUGAUCUUGAGUAAUGGAGAGGCAGGCGGAAUUCCUAGUGUAGCGGUGAAAUGCGUAGAUAUUAGGAGGAACACCAGUGGCGAAGGCAG
rnacentral:rRNA from 1 species